CCUACGGGUGGCUGCAGUGGGGAAUAUUGGACAAUGGGCGAAAGCCUGAUCCAGCCAUGCCGCGUGUGUGAAGAAGGCCUUCGGGUUGUAAAGCACUUUCAGUGGGGAAGAAAGCCUUGGGGCUAAUACCCUCGAGGAAGGACAUCACCCACAGAAGAAGCACCGGCUAACUCCGUGCCAGCAGCCGCGGUAAUACGGAGGGUGCGAGCGUUAAUCGGAAUUACUGGGCGUAAAGCGCGCGUAGGCGGUCUGAUAAGCCGGUUGUGAAAGCCCCGGGCUCAACCUGGGAACGGCAUCCGGAACUGUCAGGCUAGAGUGCAGGAGAGGAAGGUAGAAUUCCCGGUGUAGCGGUGAAAUGCGUAGAGAUCGGGAGGAAUACCAGUGGCGAAGGCGGCCUUCUGGACUGACACUGACGCUGAGGUGCGAAAGCGUGGGUAGCAAACAGGAUUAGAACCCUAGUAGUC
rnacentral:rRNA from 1 species